UAGGGAAUCUUCCACAAUGGACGCAAGUCUGAUGGACCAACGCCGCGUGAGUGAAGAAGGGUUUCGGCUCGUAAAGCUCUGUUGUUAAAGAAGAACGUGGGUAAGAGUAACUGUUUACCCAGUGACGGUAUUUAACCAGAAAGCCACGGCUAACUACGUGCCAG
rnacentral:rRNA from 1 species